UGUGUGAGGAGAGUUUGUUCGGUGAAGACUGCAGUGUGAGCUGUGAGGACUGUAUCAAUGGAGGAGUGUGUGUGCUAGAGAAGGAUCGCUGUGUGUGUGCACCUGGCUGGACUGGGGUCACCUGUAAUGACAGUGACUCUGCUCUCUACUAUCACUGACCUCUGACCUUAACAGAAGCCUUGAAGAAAUACAGCUACAUUGUUAAGCUUGAACACAUAUGGUGUUCAGUGUAACAGUCUGUGUGUUUGUAAGAAUGAGGGCCACUGUGACCCAGUGACGGGGAAGUGCUUGUGUCCUCCAGGGGUCCACGGUCUACACUGUGAAAACGGUUGUCCGCAGGGUUUCUAUGGGAGGUUCUGAAGGAGGAGGUGUAACUGCCCCAACAAUGUACACUACCGUCGUCUGUAUAUGGAGGGUGUCUGUGCGCACCUGGCCUCUACGGCAAAUUCUGCCAUCUGUCAUGUCCCAAAUGGACUCACGGUGCGGGGUUGCUCAGAGGAAUGCAAAUGUGCACAGGAAAACUCUCUGUCUUGUGAUCUACAAAAAGACACCUGCACUUGUAAACCUGGUUACCAUGGCGACCGCUGUCAGGAAGAAUGUGACAAAGGAUACUACGGCAUUGGCUGCCGCGAGUGAUGUAACUGCUCUGAUGGUGUGCUGUGUGAUCCCAAAAUGGGAGAGUGCCAGAAGAUAUGACCAGCAGGAUACCAUGGAGAGAAAUGCCAGCUGA
ensembl:lncRNA